rnacentral:piRNA from 1 species
UAACAGUUGCUGUUGGAGGCUGUACGUGC